rnacentral:rRNA from 1 species
CUUAACUUGUCCAACAAAUGCACUUUUGUUAGAAUUUUGAGAGAGUACAUUGUUGAUGGUAUUGGGUGUUAUUCCAUUCGCUUCACAUAUUGCAUCGUUCAUGAUGAUCUCUACCGUCUUUUGCCUUCCACCAAAUACUUCAACACCUCCAAUUCCAUCUAUGUCAUUAAGUCGGU